GGUAACCUACCCUGUACACACGGAUAACAUACCGAAAGGUAUGCUAAUACGGGAUAAUAUAUUUGAGAGGCAUCUCUUAAAUAUCAAAGGUGAGCCAGUACAGGAUGGACUCGCGUCUGAUUAGCUAGUUGGUAAGGUAACGGCUUACCAAGGCAACGAUCAGUAGCCGACCUGAGAGGGUGAUCGGCCACAUUGGAACUGAGACACGGUCCAAACUCCUACGGGAGGCAGCAGUGGGGAAUAUUGCACAAUGGGCGAAAGCCUGAUGCAGCAACGCCGCGUGAGUGAUGAAGGCCUUCGGGUCGUAAAACUCUGUCCUCAAGGAAGAUAAUGACGGUACUUGAGGAGGAAGCCCCGGCUAACUACGUGCCAGCAGCCGCGGUAAUACGUAGGGGGCUAGCGUUAUCCGGAUUUACUGGGCGUAAAGGGUGCGUAGGCGGUCUUUCAAGUCAGGAGUGAAAGGCUACGGCUCAACCGUAGUAAGCUCUUGAAACUGGGAGACUUGAGUGCAGGAGAGGAGAGUGGAAUUCCUAGUGUAGCGGUGAAAUGCGUAGAUAUUAGGAGGAACACCAGUUGCGAAGGCGGCUCUCUGGACUGUAACUGACGCUGAGGCACGAAAGCGUGGGGAGCAAACAGGAUUAGAUACCCUGGUAGUCCACGCUGUAAAC
rnacentral:rRNA from 1 species